rnacentral:rRNA from 1 species
AACGAACGCUGGCGGCAGGCCUAACACAUGCAAGUCGAACACUCGUAGCAAUACGGGAGUGGCAGACGGGUGAGUAACACGUGGGAACCUUCCCUAUGGUUCGGAAUAGCUCAGGGAAACUUGGGGUAAUACCGGACAAGCCCUUCGGGGGAAAGAUUUAUCGCCAUUGGAUGGGCCCGCGUCGGAUUAGCUAGUUGGUGGGGUAACGGCCUACCAAGGCGACGAUCCGUAGCUGGUCUGAGAGGAUGAUCAGCCACACUGGGACUGAGACACGGCCCAGACUCCUACGGGAGGCAGCAGUGGGGAAUAUUGGACAAUGGGCGCAAGCCUGAUCCAGCCAUGCCGCGUGAGUGACGAAGGUCUUCGGAUUGUAAAGCUCUUUUGGCGGGGACGAUAAUGACGGUACCCGCAGAAUAAGCCCCGGCUAACUUCGUGCCAGCCGCCGCCGUAA